UGGGGAAUAUUGCACAAUGGGCGCAAGCCUGAUGCAGCCAUGCCGCGUGUGUGAAGAAGGCCUUCGGGUUGUAAAGCACUUUCAGCGAGGAGGAAGGGUAGUGUGUUAAUAGCACAUUGCAUUGACGUUACUCGCAGAAGAAGCACCGGCUAACUCCGUGCCAGCAGCCGCGGUAAUACGGAGGGUGCAAGCGUUAAUCGGAAUUACUGGGCGUAAAGCGCACGCAGGCGGUUUGUUAAGUCAGAUGUGAAAUCCCCGCGCUUAACGUGGGAACUGCAUUUGAAACUGGCAAGCUAGAGUCUUGUAGAGGGGGGUAGAAUUCCAGGUGUAGCGGUGAAAUGCGUAGAGAUCUGGAGGAAUACCGGUGGCGAAGGCGGCCCCCUGGACAAAGACUGACGCUCAGGUGCGAAAGCGUGGGGAGCAAACAGG
rnacentral:rRNA from 1 species